UACGGAGGGUGCGAGCGUUGUCCGGAAUCACUGGGCGUAAAGGGCGCGUAGGUGGCCUGUGGAAGUCUGCGGUGAAAGCCCGGCGCUCAACGCCGGGUCGGCCGUGGAUACUCUCGGGCUUGAGCUUACUAGAGGCAGAUGGAAUUCCGGGUGUAGCGGUGGAAUGCGUAGAGAUCCGGAAGAACACCGGUGGCGAAGGCGGUCUGCUGGGGUAAUGCUGACACUGAUGCGCGACGGCGUGGGGAGCAAACAGG
rnacentral:rRNA from 1 species